rnacentral:rRNA from 1 species
CCUACGGGUGGCUGCAGUGGGGAAUAUUGCACAAUGGGGGAAACCCUGAUGCAGCGACGCCGCGUGAGUGAAGAAGUAUUUCGGUAUGUAAAGCUCUUUCAGCAGGGAAGAAGAAAGACGCUACCUGACUAAGCAGCCCCUGCUAACUACGUGCCAGCAGCCGCGGUACUUCGUAGGGGGCGAGCGUUAUCCGGAUUUACUGGGUUUAAAGGGAUCGUAAACGGCUGUGCAAGUCUUGAGUGAAAGCCCAGGGCUGAACCCUGGGACUGCUUUGGAAACUGUGGAGCUAGAGUGCGGGAGAGGUAAGUGGAAUUCGUAGUGUAGCGGUGAAAUGCGUAGAUAUUAGGAGGAACACCAGUGGCGAAGGCGGCUUACUGGACAGUAACUGACGUUGAGGCUCGAAAGCGUGGGGAGCAAACAGGAUUAGAUACCCGAGUAGUC